AGCGAACGCUGGCGGCAGGCCCAACACAUGCAAGUCGAGCGAUGAAAUCCCUUCGGGGAUGGAUUAGCGGCGGACGGGUGAGUAACACGUGGGUAACCUGCCUCAAAGUGGGGGAUAGCCUUCCGAAAGGAAGAUUAAUACCGCAUAACAUUAGAUUUUCGCAUGAAGAACUAAUUAAAGGAGCAAUCCGCUUUGAGAUGGACCCGCGGCGCAUUAGCUAGUUGGUGAGGUAAUAGCUCACCAAGGCGACGAUGCGUAGCCGACCUGAGAGGGUGAUCGGCCACAUUGGAACUGAGACACGGUCCAGACUCCUACGGGAGGCAGCAGUGGGGAAUAUUGCACAAUGGGGGAAACCCUGAUGCAGCAACGCCGCGUGAGUGAUGAAGGUCUUCGGAUUGUAAAGCUCUGUCUUUUGGGACGAUAAUGACGGUACCAAAGGAGGAAGCCACGGCUAACUACGUGCCAGCAGCCGCCGUAAGAC
rnacentral:rRNA from 1 species